AUGAAGAAGGCAGACAAGUUCGAGUGGACUCCAGAAGCUGAUGCAGCGUUUGCCGAGCUAAAAGCUCUGCUCUCCACCCAGCCGGUGCUUGCUGCUCCAAUCAGCAAAGAGCCUCUGUUGCUCUAUGUCGCAGCCACAGGACAAGUCGUCAGUACUGUGCUUACGGUCGAGCGGGAAGAAGAAGGAAAAGCUCUCAAAGUUCAGCGCCCAGUGUAUUAUUUGUCUGAAGUCUUGACUCCAUCCAAGCAGAGAUAUCCUCAUUAUCAGAAGCUUGUGUAUGAAAUAUACAUGACCACAAAGAAGGUUGCUCAUUAUUUCUCUGAUCAUUCCAUCACAGUCGUCAGCGACGCUCCACUAUCAGAGAUUUUGCACAACAGAGAUGCAACCGGUCGAGUGGCUAAAUGGGCGAUUGAACUUCUUCCCCUUGAUAUCAAGUUUGAGGCAAAGAAAGCCAUUAAGUCCCAGGCAAUAGCAGAUUUCCUCGCCGAGUGGAUUGAACAGCAGCAGCCGACUGAAGUUCACUCGGAGCAUUGGACCAUGUUCUUUGACGGCUCUAAGAUGUUGAAUGGUUCUGGUGCUGGGGUUGUCCUGGUUUCCCCCAGAGGAGAUAGGCUCAGAUAUGUGCUCCAGAUUCACUUUGAUUCCUCCAACAAUGAGGCAGAGUACGAGGCCCUCUUAUACGGAUUGCGCAUGGCCAUUUCACUCGGCGUCCGUCGCCUGAUGGUCUAUGGCGACUCGGAUUUAGUGGUCAACCAAGUGAUGAAGGAGUGGGAUGUGAGAAGCCCAGCCAUGACUGGAUACUGCAGUGCAGUGAGGAAGCUGGAAAAGAAGUUCGAGGGGUUGGAGCUCCAUCAUAUACCCCGACUGAAAAAUCAAGCGGCUGAUGAUCUAGCAAAGAUAGGUUCCAGGAGAGAAGCCAUUCCGAGUGGUGUGUUCUUGGAGCAUAUACACACUUCGUCAGUAAAAGAAGAUCCUUUCACCGAAGAAGCUCCACAGCCCAAGAGUGCCACAGAUCCGACUGAGGUUGAAGUCCCAGCAGUGGUCGACUUGGUCACGGAGAUCUUGGUGGUCAUUCCCGAUUGGACAGUUCCAUAUAUCGCAUAUAUCCUGAAAAAAGAGCUCCCGGAGGAUGAGGAAGAGGCUCGACAGAUCGUCCGUCGAUCUAAGGCCUUUACCGUAAUCAAAGGACAGUUAUACAGAGAAAGCGCGACUGGAGUUGGUCAGAAGUGCAUAACGCCAGAA
rnacentral:rRNA from 1 species